rnacentral:rRNA from 1 species
CCUACGGGAGGCUGCAGUGGGGAAUAUUGGGCAAUGGAGGCAACUCUUACCCAGCAAUGCCGCGUGAAUGAAGAAGGUCUUCGGAUUGUAAAGUUCUUUAGUUGGGGACGAAAAAAAUGACGGUACCCAAGGAAGAAGCCCCGGCUAACUACGUGCCAGCAGCCGUGGUAAUACGUAGGGGGCAAGCGUUGUUCGGAAUGACUGGGCGUAAAGGGUGUGUAGGCGGCGAUGCAAGCUAGGAGUGAAACGCCGGGGCUCAACCCCGGGACUGCUCUUGGUACUGCGUGGCUGGAGUGCAGGAGGGGAUGGCGGAAUACCUGGUGUAGCGGUGAAAUGCGUAGAUAUUAGGAGGAACACCGGUGGCGAAGGCGGCCAGCUGGACUGCAACUGACGUUGAGGCCCGAAAGCAUGGGGAGCAAACAGGAUUAGAUACCCCGGUAGUC